rnacentral:rRNA from 1 species
UACGAAGGUCCCAAGCGUUAUCCGGAUUUAUUGGGUUUAAAGGGUGCGUAGGCGGGCAGGUAAGUCCGUGGUGAAAUCCCCGAGCUUAACUCGGGAACUGCCAUGGAUACUAUUUGUCUUGAAUAUUGUGGAGGUAAGCGGAAUAUGUCAUGUAGCGGUGAAAUGCUUAGAUAUGACAUAGAACACCAAUUGCGAAGGCAGCUUACUACACAGUUAUUGACGCUGAGGCACGAAAGCGUGGGGAUCAAACAGG